rnacentral:rRNA from 1 species
GACGUAGGGCGCGAGCGUUGUCCGGAUUUAUUGGGCGUAAAGAGCGCGUAGGCGGCAUGACAAGUCACUUGUGAAAUCUCUGGGCUUAACCCAGAACGGCCAAGUGAUACUGUCGCGCUAGAGUGCAGAAGGGGCAAUCGGAAUUCUCGGUGUAGCGGUGAAAUGCGUAGAUAUCGAGAGGAACACCAGAGGUGAAGACGGGUUGCUGGGCUGACACUGACGCUGAGGCGCGAAAGCCAGGGGAGCAAACGGG